UGCUCUCGAUUAGUUUCUAUGUGGUGAUUUUGAUUAUUGAAGCUUUCAGUUGAUUGUGUUCUUGUUACCUUGGUGGCAUGGGGUUAAUUUAUUGAAUUAGAUAACUUAGUAAUACGACUUGAGGCCACGAACUUUCUUAAUCGUUGGCAAAUUAAGUUGAGAAGAAUUGAUAUUGUUGAUUUUCCUUGCUUAAGCUUAAUUUAUCUGAUUGCGUUCUAGUGAAAGUAAGAGUAUUUGGUUAGUGGGAUUAUGAAUUGGGAGUGAAGAACUAGGGAAUUAUGCUAGAGUUCAAGUUGGAGCCAAGUAUAGGCAUGUUUAGGUUGGUACUUGAUUCUUUUCUUCCACAUUCUAUCAUCCAAUUGGGUUGUUAUGUUGUGAAUCUAGAAUUAACAAUUAAUUGGAUUGUUUAAUUAAUAUGAUUUAAAAGCGCUAUGAUAUGCAAGAACAAAUAUGGGAGAGCUUCUUGGAAGUUGUAUAGAGGUACUGCAAUUGGAGGCUCGUUUAGAUUGCAAGGUUCGUUAACAUUGGUAAGGUGUAAUGAGCAUUAGAUUCGUGUAUUAUACAUUCAUUAUCUUCGUUGAGUUUCUCUAAGUAUGAUUGAGGGUUCGUGUGAGUAAUUUAGGUUUUUUUUUUGUUUCUCUUUUUGUAAUAGUAUAAUCCUGUUCAUAUUGGAUUGUCGAGGUUACUUGUCAUUGAGUAAUUUAGCAAUUGAAGUCCAUGAGCUACGUAUUUUGUCUGCUAAGGUGGUUAAUCACAUUUCAAAAUAUAUGUACUAUAUUUCUUGUAGAAUUAAGAAGCGUAAUUAUCUUGCUUGCGACAUCUUGGGUUUCUGAAAAUUGAUCUGUAGAUAUGAUCUAUGAUAUAAUCUUGUGCAAGGGUCUUGUGAAGGAGGAAAUAUUUUUGGUAGGGGUGUGAUUUGGCAAUGUGAUACCUAUUGAUGAAAUUAGUAUGUUUUAUAAAUUGUUUUUCUUUUUAUGCCUAUGAUUUAUAGGAGUUGAAGAGACUGGAACUUUGCAUUCUGAAAGCUCGUCUUUCUUAAAUAGUAUAUUGGAAGUUUGGUAAAUGCUCUAUUUUUUUGUGAAAUGAUAUACAUAUAUAUAUAUAUAUUAUAUGAAUACAAAUUAUAUGGAGUAUUAUUUAAGAAGAAUAUUGUGAUAGAUAUAGAUUAAGAAAUCGGUUUUGCUAUGUUGUGUGAAAGGAUUUGCCCUCUUAUGUUUCAUUUUGGCUUGAGAUAUGUGAUGUGAUUGUGCAUGCUGAUCAUGUAUAACAUAUGUGAUGAUAAUAUGAAGUAAUCUGUAAGGAUUGUGCUUGUGUAUACUGAUAUUGUUUGAUCAUUUAUAGCUAUGGGACCGCUGAUCCGGCGGUAUAUAAAUAAGACGCAUAGACUGCUGAUCUAGCGGGAUACAAAAAGGGACGCCUAGACCGCUGAUCCGGCGGGAUAUAAAAUGGAUGCCUAGACUCUUACUGCCGGAGGAUAAUGGGCAGCCCCCGCUUAUGAGACAUGAAAUGAGAAAUUUAUGGAUAUGAGUACGAGGUCACGAUGGGUUAGGAGCUAUACUAGCAACACAAGAGAACUUUUUGGACAUCGGGGAUCAGCUUGGAGGACUAGGUAGGAACCUUAGUUAUUAGUUAAAUAUUCUUUUUGUAUAGAAUAUAUUGAAAAUGUUACGAUCUGAAUCUUUAUUUAGUUGGUUUAGUGAUGUAGUUCUGCUGGAAUAUAUGUGUGUGCGCGCGCACGCGCGUGUGUGAGAGAGCUUGCUGGAUUGGUUAUAUGUUUUUGGAAAUUAUGGAAAGUAGGUUUUUAUGUUAAUAGUUCAUGUGAUAAUGAAUAUCGAGGAAUCUUAGGGAAA